AAAAUGGAGAGUUUGAUCCUGGCUCAGGAUGAACGCUGGCGGUAUGCUUAACACAUGCAAGUCGAACGGAAUCUUUAGGGAUUUAGUGGCGGACGGGUGAGUAACGCGUAAGAAUCUACCUUCAGGUUGGGGACAACCACUGGAAACGGUGGCUAAUACCGAAUGUGCCGAGAGGUGAAAGGCUUGCUGCCUGAAGAAGAGCUUGCGUCUGAUUAGCUAGUUGGUGGGGUAAGAGCCUACCAAGGCGACGAUCAGUAGCUGGUCUGAGAGGAUGAUCAGCCACACUGGGACUGAGACACGGCCCAGACUCCUACGGGAGGCAGCAGUGGGGAAUUUUCCGCAAUGGGCGAAAGCCUGACGGAGCAAUACCGCGUGAGGGAGGAAGGCUCUUGGGUUGUAAACCUCUUUUCUCAGGGAAGAAAAAAAUGACGGUACCUGAGGAAUAAGCAUCGGCUAACUCCGUGCCAGCAGCCGCGGUAAUACGGAGGAUGCAAGCGUUAUCCGGAAUGAUUGGGCGUAAAGGGUCCGCAGGUGGCAUUGUAUGUCUGCUGUUAAAGAGUUUGGCUCAACCAAAUCAAAGCAGUGGAAACUACAAAGCUAGAGUAUGGUCGGGGCAGAGGGAAUUCCUGGUGUAGCGGUGAAAUGCGUAGAUAUCAGGAAGAACACCGGUGGCGAAGGCGCUCUGCUAGGCCAAAACUGACACUGAGGGACGAAAGCUAGGGGAGCGAAUGGGAUUAGAUACCCCAGUAGUCCUAGCCGUAAACGAUGGAUACUAGGUGUAGCUCGUAUCGACCCGAGCUGUACCGUAGCUAACGCGUUAAGUAUCCCGCCUGGGGAGUACGCAGGCAACUGUGAAACUCAAAGGAAUUGACGGGGGCCCGCACAAGCGGUGGAGUAUGUGGUUUAAUUCGAUGCAACGCGAAGAACCUUACCAAGGCUUGACAUGUCACGAAUCCCGGCGAAAAUGAGAUGUUGGGUUAAGUCCCGCAACGAGCGCAACCCUCGUUUUUAGUUGCCAGCAUUAAGUUGGGCACUCUAGAGAGACUGCCGGUGACAAACCGGAGGAAGGUGGGGAUGACGUCAAGUCAGCAUGCCCCUUACGUCUUGGGCUACACACGUACUACAAUGCUCCGGACAAAGGGCAGCUACACAGCGAUGUGAUGCGAAUCUCAUAAACCGGAGCUCAGUUCAGAUCGAAGGCUGCAACUCGCCUUCGUGAAGGAGGAAUCGCUAGUAAUUGCAGGUCAGCAUACUGCAGUGAAUUCGUUCCCGGGCCUUGUACACACCGCCCGUCACACCAUGGAAGUUGGUCACGCCCGAAGUCGUUACCCCAACCUUUUGGAGGGGGAUGCCUAAGGUAGGACUGAUGACUGGGGUGAAGUCGUAACAAGGUAGCCGUACCGGAAGGUGUGGCUGGAUCACCUCCUUUU
rnacentral:rRNA from 1 species